AAGCGCUCAUGACCAGACUUGGGCUCGGUGAAUCAUCCGGCGUUCUCGCCGGUGCACUUUGCCGGCUCAGGCCAGCAUCAGUUCGCGCCGGGGGAAAAAGGCUUCGGGAAUGUGGCUCCCUCGGGAGUGUUAUAGCCCGUUGCGUAAUACCCUGGGGCGGACUGAGGUACGCGUUCUGCAUGGAUGCUGGCGUAAUGGUCAUCAGUGA
rnacentral:rRNA from 1 species